GGAGAAUUGGCUCAGUGGUUAAGAGCACUUGUUUUUUGCAAAGGACCUGGGUUCUAUUCCCAGCACCC
rfam:Mesocricetus auratus contig042635, whole genome shotgun sequence.